rnacentral:piRNA from 1 species
AUCUAGAGACUGCCAUACCUGGGGAU